GAGUUAUGGAGUGAACAAAAUGAAAGAAAACUCAGAACCACCAGUUGCACAUUUGAACCAUCAUGUAUCACAUCCUUCUUCAUCAUGUCAUCAUAUCUUUUAUUCCUAAAAAAAACGAUAAUAAGGUGAUGGAGGAGGGGAAGAAUUCAAAGAAGCAUGAACCACUGGAAAAGUCUAGCAAAUGAGUGCCGAAUAAAAAGAAGAGCAGGCGAAAAUCACAUAAACAGUUUCAAAAGGAGCAGGCAAAAACGAGUAAAGGCUGUGGACAUCAAUGGAUCUAUCCUUUCUUGCCAUUUUGUGCGGUAUCGUGCAUCCUCUGCAAAGAAAAGGUAGCCCCUAAACACUUUUAGCUCCACCAUUAAAUAACCUGUUCAACACCUAGAUUGUGCACCCUGAAUAG
rnacentral:lncRNA from 1 species